AAAACCAGAGGGGCCGACAGGGCAAAGCACCCCAGCAGACCUUACGGAGGGAACCAGGCAGGCAUUGGACAGAGUAUCUUAUGAACAAGAGAGGAAAACGCAGACUGGGCAAGGAUUAAGUUAGGUCUCCCUUCCAUGUUUUCCAAGACUGGAAAUGGCCCCCUGAUGUCCAGAAGUAGAAGCGCUUUAUGGAGGUGGAACAGGAGCGGGAGGCAACGGGCUCUUGAGGGAUCAGUCUGGAAUGCCCCUGCUGCUGGCCAGGGGACCGUGAGGCCCCAGCAGUGCCCUUCACUGCGGGCCGCUAGUUCUGCUCUCUAUCUGCUGAGGCAAAGAAUGCUGAUGUGUGAGCAAGGUCCAAAGAGAGCGUUCAACUAAAAUUAAUAAAAGUAAUAAACAGAAGCACUGCUCCAAUGAGGAUGAGCGCUGUGACCUUGCAAUCUGCAAUCAGCUUCACAAACCAGAGAGGAAGGUGAAUCCGACGAGGACCAGGCUGGAGAUGAACACCAAGGAACGUGGAUGCUUCAAGGACGGUGUUGCAGUUUAAUAAUUCAAGGAAGUAUGCUUUAAAAGAAAUGAAAUCUAUUAAAAGUUGUAUUAUCAUUUGACUAAUAAAUGCUAUAUAGGCACAACAAAUAACCAAAUAAUUAAAGCAAAUCCAAUCUCUGAAUGCAAACAUCCUUUCAACAGUCCUUAAUCGCUUUUUUUUUUCUGCUGCUCAGGCUGGAGUACAGGGGCAUGAACUUGGCUCAGUGCAACCUCCUGCCUCCUGAGUUCAAGAGAUUCUCAUGCCUCAGCUUCCCAAGUAGCUGGGAUUACAGGCCCACACCACAACGCCCAGUUAAUUUUUGUAUUUUUAGUAAAGACAGGGUUUCACCAUGUUGGCCAGGCUGGUCUCGCACUCCUGACCUCAGGUGAUUGCCCGCUUCUGCCUCCAAAAGUGCUGGGAUUAUAGGUGUGAGCCACUGUGACUGGCCCUUAAUUUGCUUUUAAAUAUAAAUAUUAAAUAAUAUCUAAGGCUGGGCGCGGUGGCUCACGCCUGUAAUCCCAGCACUUUGGGAGGCUGAGGCAGGUGGAUCACGACCAUCCUGGCUAACACGGUGAAACCCCGUCUCUACUAAAAAUACAAAAAAAUUAGCCAGGCGUGGUGGCAAGCACCUGUAGUCCCAACUACUCGGGAGGCUGAGGCAGGAGAUUGGCGUAAACCCAGGAGGUGGAGCUUGCAGUGAGCCGAGAUCGC
rnacentral:lncRNA from 1 species